UACGGAGGAUCCAAGCGUUAUCCGGAUUUAUUGGGUUUAAAGGGUGCGUAGGCGGAUUGAUAAGUUAGAGGUGAAAUGUCCGAGCUCAACUCGGGAACUGCCUCUAAUACUGUUGAUCUAGAGAGUAGAUGCGGUAGGCGGAAUGUAUGGUGUAGCGGUGAAAUGCUUAGAGAUCAUACAGAACACCGAUCGCGAAGGCAGCUUACCAAUCUAUAUCUGACGUUGAGGCACGAAAGCGUGGGGAGCAAACAGG
rnacentral:rRNA from 1 species